rnacentral:rRNA from 1 species
UGGGCAACCUGCCCCUCUCUCUGGGAUAACCCCGGGAAACCGGAGCUAAUACCGGAUACUCCGGCUGGAUCGCAUGGUCCGGCCGGGAAAGGUCCGCCGGAGAGGGAUGGGCCCGCGGCCUAUCAGCUUGUUGGUGGGGUAAUGGCUCACCAAGGCGACGACGGGUAGCUGGUCUGAGAGGAUGGCCAGCCACAUUGGGACUGAGACACGGCCCAGACUCCUACGGGAGGCA